CGAACGGGUGAGUAACAUAUCGGAACGUACCAUUCAGUGGGGGAUAACGCAGCGAAAGUUGCGCUAAUACCGCAUAUUGUGAGCGAAAGCAGCGCUGAUUGAGCGGCCGAUAUCAGAUUAGCUAGUUGGCGGGGUAAAGGCCCACCAAGGCGACGAUCUGUAGCGGGUCUGAGAGGAUGAUCCGCCACACUGGGACUGAGACACGGCCCAGACUCCUACGGGAGGCAGCAGUGGGGAAUUUUGGACAAUGGGCGCAAGCCUGAUCCAGCCAUGCCGCGUGAGUGAAGAAGGCCUUCGGGUUGUAAAGCUCUUUCGCGAGGGAAGAAUGACGGGUCCUUGAUAAGAAGCACCGGCUAACUACGUGCCAGCAGCCGCGGUAAUACGUAGGGUGCGAGCGU
rnacentral:rRNA from 1 species